rnacentral:rRNA from 1 species
CGUGUAGGCGGCGAUUUAAGUCAGACGUGAAAAACUCAAGGCUUAACCAUGGGACUGCGUUUGAAACUGGAUGGCUAGAGGAUCGGAGAGGGCAGUGGAAUUCCCAGUGUAGCGGUGAAAUGCGUAGAUAUUGGGAGGAACACCAGUGGCGAAGGCGACUGCCUGGACGACACCUGACGCUGAGGCGCGAAAAGCCGAGGGGAGCGGAACG